rfam:Stegodyphus mimosarum contig73278, whole genome shotgun sequence.
GCCUUCGUGGUGUAGUGGUCAGCACGCUCGACGCGUAUUCGAGAGAUCCAUGGUUCGAGUCCCGGCGAGGGCA